UUUCCGUAGGUGAACCUGCGGAAGGAUCAUUAUUGGAUUUUGAAACUUCAGGCUGCUGCUGGCUCUCCUCGGAGGGCAUAUGCACGCUUGUUGUCCAUUAUUUCUCCCACUGUGCACAAAUUGUAGACCUUUCAGUAGGCCUAUGUUGUUUUUCACAAUCUCUGAAUGUAAUAGAAUGGUUUUGAAUCUUGGGAAAUACAAUACAACUUUCAGCAACGGAUCUCUUGGCUCUCGCAUCGAUGGAGAACGCAGC
rnacentral:misc_RNA from 1 species